UCCUGGUUUCCCAGGCAGUCCCACUAGAGUGCCUCCCGAAGGAGUAGCAACUAAUGGCAAGAGUUGCGCUCGUUAAAGGACUUAACCCAACAUCUCACGACACGAGCUGACGACAGCCAUGCAGCACCUGUUUACCCGUCCAUGCUUUCGCAUGAAAAACCAUGUUUCCAUGGCGGUCAGGUAUAUGUCAAGCCUAGGUAAGGUUCCUCGCGUAGUGUCGAAUUAAACCACAUGUUCCACCGCUUGUGCGGACCCCCGUCAAUUCCUUUGAGUUUUAAUCUUGCGACCGUACUCCCCAGGCGGAUCACUUAUCGCGUUAGCUACGACACUAACCGUGCAAGCACAGUUAACGUCCAGUGAUCAUCGUUUACAGCGUGGACUAC
rnacentral:misc_RNA from 1 species